rnacentral:snoRNA from 1 species
GGCCUCCUGGUGCUUACCAUAGGCUGUGUUCUUAUAUGACUGCAUAGAUAAAGAGGAAGGAAAGUAAACCUACCCUAAUUGCAUUUCAACCCAGACUCUGUGCCUGGUCUGUAUCGUGAGUAGGAAGAUAUGG